UUUUUUUUUUUUUGCUUCCCAUUGACUCCCAACUCACAGAGCCCAGGCUGAGAGUAAACAACUUUCCAGAAUCUCCUCAACCAUAAAAUGCUGCCUGGAUUCUGCAGUGGAAAACUUAACUUACUUAAACAAUGCCCAGGUUCCAGACACAGAGUCAACUGGAGAUGGCCACAUUUGCAGAGGCUGACUUCAAGACAUACGUUCACUUUCUCCUCUAAAUUCUAUAAACUCUGUGUCCUUGGAUGAAGCCACUAUAGCUUGGGACCUGAACCACCACAGAACUGCUUUCAUAAAGUGGCUCUCUGUCCUGCUCGCCAGCCUUUGUGGCUGGUG